UGUGUGGCAAUGAGCGAGGCCAACCCGCAAACUCUUCCAGGCCGACUGAAGUCUUCAAACUUGUGUCCACUGACAACGUUUCAGGUCGUCCCUGAUUAUUUGAUGGGCAUAUUCUUUACUACUGAGCUACCUGGGAAAGAUCAGUAAGGCAUGAAGAGGCAUAUUUAGGGGGAAUGGAGAAGCUUAAACCAGCAGAGCAGCACUCAAGGCAUUGGGGAGUGCUUGGAACGGCCUGAAGCAGGAAGUGCGCCCGUUUCGCCGCUCGGAGCAAGUUCCCGAGUUCACACUCGGGUUGAGCGGGAACUGAGCCCUGCGCUCCAUCUCCUCCAGACACAGGAAGCAACAAGGAAUGACAACCAGAAACUUAGAAGGAGAGAGGGAAAAUUAUAUUUUCCUCCCCUACAAGACUUUGGGGAAGAAAGCUGUGUGACUGUCUGGGGAGAAGCUUCCAGAUCCCAAAGUGGGAGCAUUUCUGGCAUGUUCUAGCCCAGCAAGGGAGCUGGGGUGGCUGGAGUGGAGGGCCGAGGGUUGCAGAGUUGAUAUGAGCUGGGAGAGGUGACGGAGGUUGAUACAGGCAACCUCAUAGAACAUGUGAAGACCAGCUUUUACUUUUGAGCAGAAGAGCAUCACAACGGGACUUCCAUUUUAAGGUGCUUUCUCAGGCUGCUGUGUGGGGACCAGACACCAGGGAUAUGUGCACAGAGCCCAGAGUUUCCUAAAGACUGGAUAUGGGGUGGGAGA